UACGGAGGAUCCAAGCGUUAUCCGGAUUUAUUGGGUUUAAAGGGUGCGUAGGCGGCCUAUUAAGUCAGGGGUGAAAGACGGUAGCUUAACUAUCGCAGUGCCUUUGAUACUGAUGGGCUUGAAUGAACUAGAGGUAGGCGGAAUGUGACAAGUAGCGGUGAAAUGCAUAGAUAUGUCACAGAACACCAAUUGCGAAGGCAGCUUACUAUGGUUUUAUUGACGCUGAGGCACGAAAGCGUGGGGAUCAAACAGGG
rnacentral:rRNA from 1 species